UAGGGAAUCUUCGGCAAUGGGGGGAACCCUGCCCGAGCAACGCCGCGUGAGUGAAGAAGGUUUUCGGAUCGUAAAGCUCUGUUGUUAAGGAAGAACGAGUGUGAGAAUGGAAAGUUCAUACUGUGACGGUACUUAACCAGAAAGGGACGGCUAACUACGUGCCAGCAGCCGCGGUAAUACGUAGGUCCCGAGCGUUGUCCGGAUUUAUUGGGCGUAAAGCGAGCGCAGGCGGUUAGAUAAGUCUGAAGUUAAAGGCAGUGGCUCAACCAUUGUAGGCUUUGGAAACUGUUUAACUUGAGUGCAGAAGGGGAGGGUGGAAUUCCAUGUGUAGCGGUGAAAUGCGUAGAUAUAUGGAGGAACACCGGUGGCGAAAGCGGCUCGCUAGUCUGUAACUGACGCUGAGGCUCGAAAGCGUGGGGAGCGAACAGG
rnacentral:rRNA from 1 species